AAGCUUAUUACCACACAGCUAAGUCUGCACCUACACACACAUUCAUACAUACAAAGGCAAUAAGAGAGCCUCUGCGUGGUUUCUCAAACUGUUAGAAAUAGCAGCCAAAUAUCUCUCUCAAAUAACACGGAGUCAAACACUGUAUACCUGGAUACACAAAAAAGGUGGGAUGGUCAUGACUGAAAUGUCUUUCUUCAGAGUAACUCCAGGUUAGCCCUGAGCGAACAGAUCUAUGAGGAAAGGCAUUCUGCAACACAACGUACGAGGUGGAUCAUCCAAGUAGAACAAAUGGCUGUUGAUGACAUAACUUCAUCUUACACCGGUAAAUAUCUAGCAGCAGAGGGCGCUUCUCGUCAGCACCCCCCCCCCUCUGACAUGGCAGUAAUUGAUUCCGACAGGAAUGUGAAAUUGUUGGUUAUUACUGGUGUUGUUAGAGAAGCCGGCUGCAUGAGACAUGGCUCAUCAUCAGCGGGCCGCACUACUAAAAAAAGAUUGAAGGUGAUUUUUUUUUGUUAGACAUUCUGAAAGUCCCGCAGGCUGCCUAAAACCGGACUAGGCCAACUUCUUCGUCAUCAUCCGACUUCCUAGAAUUAGCAGCCAAAUCUCUUUUAAAUCAUUUCCUACCGUUUUCAAACAAGAAAGAAAAGUUAGAAUAAUUUAUUUAACUGUCAUUACCUUGAAUAAAAUACGAGAUGGUUACAACUGGAA